AAGCAUGGAAUAUAUAUGCACAGAACUCCCAUCCCAAAAAAAUUUCUUAUCUUGGAGUUCUGAGAGCUCAUGUAACAGUGGCUGCUAAUAUAAACCUUCCUUCAGCAUUAAAGAAGAAAAUCCGACUCGGAGGCCAUCUUGUCUACCUUUUUGAUGGUAUUUACAAUAAAACCUAAGAUAGUGUUACCAGAUAAAGCAAUGCAACUAAAACACGAAUGUUUUUGUACAUAAAAAUUCUGGAAUUGAAGA